ensembl:lncRNA
CUCUGGACAUCUUGCCCUUUAUUUACUGAAAAGAAGACAACAUCUUUUCUCAGGGCUGAAACCCCUAUUGCAGUUCCAACACGUGUCUAUUUAUCAGGAGAAAAGCUGAAUAUUUCCACUAUCACAAGAUUAUUGCCAGUGCUCGGAUUUUUCCCUAACCUCCAGCUAAAAUCCUCUGAGCUAACGCUCUGAAAAUGGAACGGCAUACCAAAUCUGCGCUCUGGCUCUCAGAGGUGGAGGCCCACCCUUUCUCCCAAUAAACAAUUUUGCAUACGUUUAAACCUCCCUCCUCUGGUUUCCCAACUCCUCCUGCCUGACCCCCCCAGCAAAGAAAUUACGGAAAUCUGUCAUUUCUCUCUUUUCCCUCGCACCUCCAUCUAUCAGUGUUUCGAAGGCAGUCUCCUCAAAUGCAGAGCAGAGCAGGAGAUGGGCAGCGGUAAUGGGAAUGUGCUCCUGACUGUGCAAACCCACACAGAGAGUGAGGACAGGAGAGACUGCAUUUGCAUACAUAUUAAACGAGAGCAGUAAAAAAUGCAGACGUGCAAACCAUUUGGACAUGGCUCGCCUCGGCAAUGUGCCCUGCAAGGGAAUCAAUCUUCUGCAUUCUUAAAGGGAAAAACCUGUUACGGAGCGAAAAGCAAAGCCAGAAAGACGUCCGCUUACAAACACGGUCAAGGUUUGAAGACGAUCUGACCUUCUGCCUUUGCCAACCACGACCUGCUGUGCAAAGGUACACAUAGGAGGGUGAGACCUGGCAUGAACCAACUGCUGUCACUGGUGAGAGAUCUCCCAGGACCCCAUCCUGAGUGGGAACUGGAGCAAGAGUUCCAAGCUCCACGUGCCCACCUGUGAGGGCAACGCAGAGACCUUCCUGAGAUGGCCCAAGCCAGGCUGCAGGGAAGAACUAAGUGACAUCUGGAUAUGCUGAAGAAGCCCAAACCCUGUGUCCCAGUGCCUUCACCUACUGAAAAGAAAGGGCAGCGGAGAGAAUCGCAAAGAGGGAACCCGGGGGUUUCCCCCCAGAAGUGGGAUCUGUGCCUCGCCAGAGACACGAAGGCAGAGCAAAGCAGAGUUCAAGAAAACAUCAGAAAGACGUUAUUGAAUAGCUGUCAUUUGGCAAGUAUAAAUGUAUCAGCGAUUGUGUUGAUAGGAGG